rnacentral:rRNA from 1 species
UACGAAGGGGGCUAGCGUUGUUCGGAAUCACUGGGCGUAAAGCGCACGUAGGCGGAUGUGCCAGUCAGGGGUGAAAUCCCGGAGCUCAACUCCGGAACUGCCUCUGAUACAGCACGUCUUGAGUUCGAGAGAGGUGGGUGGAAUUCCUAGUGUAGAGGUGAAAUUCGUAGAUAUUAGGAAGAACACCGGUGGCGAAGGCGGCCCACUGGCUCGAUACUGACGCUCAGGCACGAAAGCGUGGGGAGCAAACAGG